rnacentral:rRNA from 1 species
AAUAUUGGACAAUGGGGGCAACCCUGAUCCAGCCAUGCCGCGUGUGUGAAGAAGGUCUUCGGAUUGUAAAGCACUUUAAGUUGGGAGGAAGGGCGUUAGGUUAUUACACUGAGGUUGUGACGUCACUAACAGAAUAAGCACCGCCUAACUCCGUGCCAGCAGCCGCGGUAAUACAGAGGGUGCAAGCGUUAACCGGAAUUACUGGGAGUAAAGCGCGCGUAGGUGGUUCAGUAAGAUGGGUGUGAAAUCCCCGGGCUUAACCUGGGAACUGCUUUCAUAACUGCUGAGCUAGAGUACGGUAGAGGGUAGUGGAAUUUCCUGUGUAGCGGUGAAAUGCGUAGAUAUAGGAAGGAACACCAGUGGCGAAGGCGACUACCUGGACUGAUACUGACACUGAGGUGCGAAAGCGUGGGGAGCAAACA